rnacentral:rRNA from 1 species
CCUACGGGUGGCAGCAGUGGGGAAUAUUGGACAAUGGGGGGAACCCUGAUCCAGCGACGCCGCGUGAGUGAAGAAGUAUUUCGGUAUGUAAAGCUCUAUCAGCAGGGAAGAAAGAAAUGACGGUACCUGACUAAGAAGCCCCGGCUAACUACGUGCCAGCAGCCGCGGUAAUACGUAGGGGGCAAGCGUUAUCCGGAUUUACUGGGUGUAAAAGGAGCGUAGACGGCGAUGCAAGUCUGAAGUGAAAUCCACGGGCUCAACCCGUGAACUGCAUUUGAAACUGUUUCCCUUGAGUGUCGGAGAGGUAAUCGGAAUUCCUUGUGUAGCGGUGAAAUGCGUAGAUAUAAGGAAGAACACCAGUGGCGAAGGCGGAUUACUGGACGAUAACUGACGGUGAGGCGCGAAAGCGUGGGGAGCAAACAGGAUUAGAUACCCGAGUAGUC